rnacentral:rRNA from 1 species
UACCAGCWCCCCGAGUGGUCGGGAYGAUUAUUGGGCCUAAAGCAUCCGUAGCCGGUUUUACAAGUCCUCCGUUAAAUCCAGCUGCUYAACAGAUGGGCUGCGGAGGAUACUAUAAGACUAGGAGGCAGGAGAGGCAAGCGGUACUCAGUGGGUAGGGGUAAAAUCCGUUGAUCCAUUGAAGACCACCAGUGGCGAAGGCGGCUUGCCAGAAUGCGCUCGACGGUGAGGGAUGAAAGCUGGGGGAGCAAACCGGAUUAGAUACCCGGGUAGUCCCAGCUGUAAACGAUGCAGACUCGGUGAUGGACUAGCUUUAUGCUAGUCCAGUGCCGCAGGGAAGCCGUUAAGUCUGCCGCCUGGGUAGUACGGUCGCAAGACUGAAACUUAA